UAAAAGGUGCUUGCCACAGGGUGGAAGGGUAGAGUGUAUGGAAGGCAAUGUGGCCAGAGCCUACUGGUGUAACCCAUUCCACAGGAGUGACCUCUCAUCUGUUCAGAGGAAGACCAGCGGCCAGUAGGGUUGCCCGUGUUUUCACAGUGGAUAUCUUGGAGCUCCUGAGACAGCUGCUCCAAAAGGGUCAGAUGCUGAGAUCCAUUGUCCACCCUGGCUCCUGCUCUGAAUCGACAUCAGUUUGCAACUAGUAGUUUCAUAAAUCAAGAAAAAGAAGAAAGGUAAAUUAAUGACUGUGUUAACUAGAGGGGCUCUGAAAAUUCUGCUUUACAUCUACUUAUUUUGAAUUUCGCUUUUAUUAUAAUGAACUUUGAAUUCCGCUUUUAUUAUAAUGAACUUGCAAACACAGCAUUGUAAAAGUAUAUGCACCUCCCAAAGAUGCUGGGAAGCAGUUGAUAUUUCAUCAUUUAAGGUUGUGCCUGCAAGUAGCAGAGGUGCAGGAGGAGACAAAUAAAAGGGAUGCCUGCAUCCUAUUUCCAUGAAUUUCUGUCCUCUGAGCUGAAAGACAAUUGACAAAUUGGCUAAUAAGACCUUGAAGAAAGAAGAUACUUUAACCUUUAAUUGAAAAAUCCCCAUUCCUUCUCAUUCAAGAAGCAAAAGAAGAAACUAUCAUGAUGGACACUCUGGUGCUAGCAUCAGUCAUUUUGAUCACAAGACGUGGACCAGCCCACCUUGGAGCUCACCGUGGUGGUGGCCUGGUCCUCACGCAAGUUGUAAUGGAGCUCUUGGAAAUGGCUGUAGACUUUGCUGAGCAGGAGCAACUAUGUCUCUGGUUCUUAAGGAUUAAAAAGGUUUCUUGGAAGAACGUUCAUUUUCUGAAAUAAACAUCCCGUUGAGCCUGGUGGUACAUUGAAGAUGAAGAACAACUGAUGUCAAGACACGUUUUGGUUGUAAGGGAUAGAAGUCCAACUCCAACGAGCUUGCCAGGGAUGGAACCUGCUGGCAAACAUAACCAAACUGUGGGAAGGGCAGGGUAUGGUUAGCCUCAGGUUUCUGGAAGCAGAGUAUACAGUGCUGUGCCGUCCCUCUUCUCUCUGCUUCUUUCUGCGUAUUGGCCCUAUCCUCUCAGUGAGGCCCAUGCGCGGCAAACAGCAGCCACAGGAAGCUCCAGUGUCAGUGCCUCCCACCGCUUUCCAGAGAAGCAGCAGCCUCUUCGUUAGCUCCGUAUCAAAGACAUCGACGGGCAGGACUUUGUGUGACCCAGUUUGGGUCACGUGUCUUUAUUUGGGAGGAAAUGGAUACAAUGACGGCAGCCCUCAUGGAACCUCAUGUGUAGAAGGCCAGAUUUCCUCUCUCCAAAAGUGAAAUGUCACUGUCCAUUCAACUGAUGAAAAUCUUCCUUUUCAACAGGAAAACUACCGUGAUGUUAUCUGUUGGGUUUCAGUUUCUUACAGCAGCCAUCUUAAGAAUUAAACUGGUAUGGAUAAUCUGAUUAUGAACUCCUUGAGGGCAGGGACCAUAUUAUAUAAUACUUCUGUGUUCUCUGCUUUUCUUAGCAGAAUUUUGAAAAUGUGCCAAGUGUUGACGUAGUUUGAUCACUUGUGAGAAUGGAGGAGGAACCCAUAAUGUUAAUAAUUAAUGAUGGUUGUUGGAGUUACUUACCCAAAACCUUAUGAACUUAGCCUUCCCUAGCAGAUUUAGUUUCAUAAUUUGUUUGGUAUAAGCAAACUCUAAAAAGGGAUUGGGGAAAGUUAUGAAUUGAGUAGUUGGGGAAAAGGUAGUUUGCAGUUUUAUUUACAUCUUAGAGCCUGACAUUUUUUGUUUGCCUUGGAGGGGGUGCUUUUAAACAUUCCUCUUUUGAAAACAAUAAAAUCUUAGAUUUUGGAUAACAG